rnacentral:lncRNA from 1 species
AUAUCCUCAAAAUUUUUAAAAUAUUAUAUAUAUAGAUUUAGGCUCCUACAUUUUCGAAAGUAUGAGAGGUCCCGUGCUUGUAAGUUAUUUUCGAUGAUAGGACAUCUGAUUCGGCGAUCGGUUCCGUUAAACUUGAUCUACGCUAUUGGAACUAUCUAGAAACCAAUUUUCAUAAUUUUUUGAUUUCGUUUGUCUAGUGAACGAGUAGCCUCAAAAUAAAAAGCUGAAAAUGAAAAUCUCCUAAAAAAUAAUGAUAAAAAAAUUAAAUUUUAAAUCGGAAGUAUUGAUCUUGCUACUGAUGUUAAGUAGAAUUUUCUAUUAAAUUUUCAUAUAAUUUGGAUACUUUUACACCGUUGAACUUAAAAAUGUGCCACAUCGACCGUUAAAAUAGUCAUUUUUUAAACCUUUUGAUCACUUAGUAAAUGAUGUCAAAAAAAUCUAAAAUUUGGUUUCUAGAUAGUUUCAAUAGGGUAGAUCAUACCUAACGGAGCCGAUCGUCGAAUCCAACGUCCUAUCAUCGAAAAUAACUUACAAGCAUGGGGCCUCCCGUACUUUCGAAAGUACGGGAGACGGACUCAUAUAUA